rnacentral:sRNA from 1 species
AGAAAAAAAUCAUGCAAAUUUAAGAAGUGACAUGAAUAAAAUAACGAAAAAACAAUUUGGCAUUUGGUCAUAGUCAUCGUGACAUUAUUACGGAGUAAGUGGUGGUAGAGAAUAUCCAUAAAGAAAAGAGAAGUUGACGACAUAGAUCCGGCGAGGGAGAGAAUCCAGCAAAGAUAGAGAAAGAGAAAAAAAAACAGAAAGAAAAUGAGAGAGAAGAUGAGAAAAAGGAUGUUUCAGUAAUUUUAUUUGCCUUUCCGACAAGAUACUAUUGUCCAUAGUCAUUUACUCUAUUCUUAUUGAUUUCAUAGUUAUUUCUUACAUAUACUCAUCUAAUAUAUCAUUUUCACUUUUUAUG